rnacentral:rRNA from 1 species
GAUGAACGCUGACAGAAUGCUUAACACAUGCAAGUCUACUUGAAUUUGGGUCUUUGACUUAGAUUUGGGUGGCGGACGGGUGAGUAACGCGUAAAGAACUUGCCUCACAGUUAGGGACAACAUUUGGAAACGAAUGCUAAUACCUGAUAUUAUGAUUAUACGGCAUCGUAUAAUUAUGAAAGCUAUAUGCGCUGUGAGAGAGCUUUGCGUCCCAUUAGCUAGUUGGAGAGGUAACGGCUCACCAAGGCGAUGAUGGGUAGCCGGCCUGAGAGGGUGAACGGCCACAAGGGGACUGAGACACGGCCCUUACUCCUACGGGAGGCAGCAGUGGGGAAUAUUGGACAAUGGACCAAGAGUCUGAUCCAGCAAUUCUGUGUGCACGAUGACGUUUUUCGGAAUGUAAAGUGCUUUCAGUUGGGAAGAAAAAAAUGACGGUACCAACAGAAGAA